GGUGCUUGCACUGGUCAAUCUAGUGGCGAACGGGUGAGUAACACGUGGGUAACCUGCCCAUCAGAGGGGGAUAACAUCCGGAAACGGAUGCUAAAACCGCAUAGGUCUUCGAGCCGCAUGGCUUGAAGAGGAAAAGAGGCGCAAGCUUCUGCUGAUGGAUGGACCCGCGGUGCAUUAGCUAGUUGGUGAGGUAACGGCUCACCAAGGCCGUGAUGCAUAGCCGACCUGAGAGGGUGAUCGGCCACAUUGGGACUGAGACACGGCCCAAACUCCUACGGGAGGCAGCAGUAGGGAAUCUUCCGCAAUGGACGCAAGUCUGACGGAGCAGCGCCGCGUGAGUGAAGAAGGUUUUCGGAUCGUAAAACUCUGUUGUUAGAGAAGAACAAGUGCUAGAGUAACUGUUAGCGCCUUGACGGUAUUAACCAGAAAGCCACGGCAAUACGUGCCAGCAGCCGCGGUAAUACGUAGGUGGCAAGCGUUGUCCGGAUUUAUUGGGCGUAAAGCGAGCGCAGCGGUUCCUUAAGUUGAUGUGAAAGCCCCCGGUCAACCGGGGAGGCAUUGGACUGGGGAACUUGAGUCAGAAGAGGAGAGUGGAAUUCCAUGUGUAGCGGUG
rnacentral:rRNA from 1 species